UACAGAGGUCUCAAGCGUUGUUCGGAUUCAUUGGGCGUAAAGGGUGCGUAGGCGGCGCGGUAAGUCGGAUGUGAAAGCCCUUGGCUUAACCGAGGAAGUGCAUCCGAAACUGGCGAGCUAGAGUACUAAAGAGGAUCGCGGAAUUCCCGGUGUAGAGGUGAAAUUCGUAGAUAUCGGGAGGAACACCGGUGGCGAAGGCGGCGAUCUGGGUAGAUACUGACGCUGAGGUGCGAAAGCGUGGGGAGCAAACAGG
rnacentral:rRNA from 1 species